AGUGAACGCUGGCGGUAGGCCUAACACAUGCAAGUCGAACGGCAGCACAGUAAGAGCUUGCUCUUACGGGUGGCGAGUGGCGGACGGGUGAGGAAUACAUCGGAAUCUACUUUUUCGUGGGUGAUAACGUAGGGAAACUUACGCUAAUACCGCAUACGACCUACGGGUGAAAGCAGGGGAUCUUCGGACCUUGCGCGAUUGAAUGAGCCGAUGUCGGAUUAGCUAGUUGGCGGGGUAAAGGCCCACCAAGGCGACGAUCCGUAGCUGGUCUGAGAGGAUGUUCAGCCACACUGGAAGUGAGACACGGCACAAACUCCUACGGGAGGCAGCAGUGGGGAAUAUUGGACAAUGGGCGCGAGCCUGAUCCAGCCAUACCGCGUGGGUGAAGAAGGCCUUCGGGUUGUAAAGCCCUUUUGUUGGGAAAGAAAAGCAGCAGGUUAAUACCCCACUGUUAUGACGGUACCCAAAGAAUAAGCACCGGCUAACUUCGUG
rnacentral:rRNA from 1 species